UACGGAGGGUGCAAGCGUUAAUCGGAAUUACUGGGCGUAAAGGGCACGUAGGCGGCUCGACGCGUUGGAUGUGAAAGCCCCAGGCUUAACCUGGGAGGGUCAUUCAAAACGGUCGAGCUAGAGUGUAGGAGAGGUAAGUGGAAUUUCCGGUGUAGCGGUGAAAUGCGUAGAUAUCGGAAAGAACAUCGGUGGCGAAGGCGGCUUACUGGUUUAACACUGACGCUGAGGUGCGAAGGCGUGGGGAGCAAACAGG
rnacentral:misc_RNA from 1 species